rnacentral:misc_RNA from 1 species
UGAAAACAACUUUUACUUGUUUUCUCUUGUGAAUAAGCUUGGUCUCAGAUUCACAAAGUGGACCAUACUGACUAAAUAUUAUGUUUAGAUCUACUACGGGAGGAACUGAUUCUAAAUCAGAAAACUUAAGAAUCAGCAUGGUUGGGGAGUAUUCGGAACUUCCAUCCACAAGAUCAGAUAAAUUUUCUCUUUCUGAAUUCUCAACCGACG